rnacentral:rRNA from 1 species
AAUCAACGCUGGCGGCGUGCCUCAGACAUGCAAGUCGAACGAUUAAAGCCCCUUCGGGGGUGUAUAGAGUGGCGCACGGGUGAGUAACACGUAGGUAAUCUACCUUUGAGUGGGGAAUAACUUAGGGAAACUUAAGCUAAUACCGCAUAAUGCAGCGGCAUCGCAAGAUGACAGUUGUUAAAGGAGCAAUCCGCUUAAAGAGGAGCCUGCGGCAGAUUAGCUAGNGGUAAGGUAAUGGCUUACCAAGGCAACGAUCUGUAGCCGGUCUAAGAGGACGGUCGGUCACACUGACACUGAAUAACGGGUCAGACUCCUACGGGAGGCAGCAGUCGGGAAUUUUGGGCAAUGGGCGAAAGCCUGACCCAGCAACGCCGCGUGAAGGAUGAAGUCUCUCGGGAU